rnacentral:sRNA from 1 species
CGAGUUCGAGUCAGCUUAUGGCAUAUAAGUUUGCUUGAAUGGACGCCGCGAUGCAAUCAGCACGCGCCGCUUUCUGUGGCA